GCAGUCGUGGCUGAGUGGUCAGGCGAACGCAUGAUAAAUGCGAUACAUGGGUUCGAAUCCCACCGACUGACA